GGGAUGACACAGUAGGAUAAGCUAAGCACACUGUUGGUUAUGUGUGCCCAAGCAUUGAGGCAGUCAAAGUAGGUAAAUCCGCUUUGAUAAUGCUGGGAUGUGAUGGGGAGCGAAAUUUAGUAGCGAAGUAGCUGAUUUCACACUGUCAAGAAAAGUCUCUAUCGAGGUUAAAGGUACCCGUACCGCAAACCGACACAGGGGGGUGAGGAGAGUAUCCUAAGGCCAGCGAGAGAACUGUUGUUAAGGAACUCGGCAAAAUGACCCCGUAACUUAGGGAUAAGGGGUGCCACCAUCAGGUGGCCGCAGAGAAUAGGCCCAAGCGACUGUUUACCAAAAACAUAGGUUUCUGCUAAGUCGCAAGACGAUGUAUAGGAGCUGACGCCUGCCCGGUGCUGGAAGGUUAAGGGGAUCUGUUAGAGCAAUCGAAGCAGUGAACUUAAGCC
rnacentral:rRNA from 1 species